rnacentral:lncRNA from 1 species
AAAGGAGGGAGAGGGAAAAGGGAAAGAGAAAGUUAAAACCAGAGACCAGAGCUGGUGAGAAGCCCCAGAGAUAAAUAGAGAUGCUCACUCACUCUCAAUCUGAGAUCCCUCCCUUGGACCUAUAAAGUGUUGGGAAGACCUAAUUCAUGAAUGUUAGUCCUUUGCCAGUUCCACUUACACACACACACACACACACACACACACACACACACAGGCAAAUAGCUAAUUGACUAAAUAAAUAGAAGCAACUGCCAGAGAGAUAGAGAGAUCCUGGGCGGGGAGGAAGCCAGGGAGAGAGUGCUUCCCUCCUGGAGUUCUAGCUAAUAGCUGACAUUCAUUGCCUGCAGGCAGGUCACAUGCUGCCCGUGACUAACCCUGGGGCUAAGGAAAUGCUGUCCACUGAUGACUCAACUAACCGGAAGCCAAGUUUGGGAGUGUUUGGUCAGUUUAGCUGUCCUCAAAGAACCAUGGGUUGUGAGGCCCUAUCCCCAGCAUCACAUACACACACUAGACACACACCAGACACACACUCACAAGCAACCCCCACAAAGACACCUCCACC